CCACCCCUUGAAGACGCAACCAAAACCCCCUUCACCAAGAAGGGAUUCUGGUCUGAAGUUUCUUGUUGCCAUCUUCAGAUCAUUAAAUGCAAACUUUCGAAGCCGAGAAGAAACUUUAAGUUCCUCUUCAAGUUUGGAGGUGGAUGAAUUACUUUCAGCAUUACUAGUAGUUGUAGAUGAAAUAAUUGGAGCAACAGGUUGAUCUCUGCUUGUCCCUUCACCAAGAAGGGAUUCUGGUCUAAAGUUUCUUGUUGCCAUCUUCAGAUCGUUAAAUGCAAACUUUCGAAGCCGAGAAGAAACUUUAAGUUCCUCUUCAAGUUUGGAGGUGGAUGAAUUACUUUCAGCAUUACUAGUAGUUGUAGAUGAAAUAAUUGGAGCAACAGGUUGAUCUCUGCUUGUGUCAUUCGUAGAUUUACUCUCUGCAAAAAAGGAUUAGAAUAUAGGCAGAUUUAUUCUUUUAAAUAGAAAGAUAAGAAGUUAAAGCAUGUCAAUUUUUACCUACAAUAAAGGGUUUCAACUGCCGAAUUUAGUAUAUAGGCAGAUUUAUUCUUUUAAAUAGAAAGAUAAGAAGUUAAAGCGUGUCAAUGUUUGCCUACAAUAAAGGGUUUAAACAAUAAUAAGAGCUACAAAUGUACAAGUAGUCCAACAAAAAAUAGUUUCACAAGGUUAUCAGUUAUUUAUUGAUCCGUUAUCAUAAUGUCAAGAGAUCUCUGACUUCAACUGCAUACUGAUAAUUCAUGUGAUAAGAAAAUGGACAUUAGACCUUAACACACCGCAAAAGCUAGCUCAUAAGGUGAGUAUUAUCCAAAACCAUAAGUUUUUUUGUCGAAGACCUAAAAAGAGAUAACAACUCAUUCCCUCAAAAAACCCACCCUUAUGCCAAGAACUGAACAUUUGAAGCACGGACAUAACAUGGACGCACGAUAUUGGAAAACAAAACAAUAGUAAUGAGUGGUAUUAAUGUAAUGAAAAGAAAAUGGAUACUGAACACCUAACUCAACCCAAAAAAAAAAUUAGCUGAUAAGGUGAAAUUAUAAGAAGACAACAGUUCAUUCCCUCAACCAAUGCGGAAUACUCUGACACAACAAAACAAUUUUUUUCCGUAGAUGCUAGGAGUGCUCUAAUUUGCAUUAUUGAAACAAGCUACAUAAACAGAGAAGAAUACCCAACCACAUGACAAGUAUAAGCGGCAUAUUACAACAGCAUUUUAAUGCAAAUAUGAAAAUUAUCACCCUAACAACAAAUGUACCUUUGCAACGAAAGCUUUAACAGAAGUUCCUGUGUUUACUCUAGGAAGGCUUCGAGCAAUUUUCCAAAUUCGGCAGUCAUUCUUUAGAUUGGCUCCACUAUAACCCUUUCGAGUUAACAUCAUCAACUACUACCAACAAACAACAAACCUACGUGGGAUUUGGGGAGGGUAGUGCGUACGCACAAGAAGGCAGAGAGGUUGUUUCCGUUGGACCCUCGGCUAACAUCAUCAACUAUUACCAGUACAAGAAAUAUGGGCAAGCCAACUUUCCACCUCUAUUAAUUUACCAACUAGUGAUUGCAUAACAAUUGACCAACUUCAAGGCAUUUCACUAGAUAAAAGCAUGAGACUAACACUUCAAUAACCAAAAGGCAUGCUCUUGGUUCUGAGACAACUUUCUUCAAAGAAUCCAACGAAAAAGAAGGGCAAUUACAAUUUCAAAUCAUAAAAAAUUUCAUGCAACUUUCUACGGAGUGAGUAAAAGUGUUACCACAGUUGGUGCUGCUGAUGCCACUGAUGGAGCUAUCAACUUUAGAUCUUGAAGAAAUACAGCUACCAAUAAACCACAACUUAGUCCAACAUCCAGUAGUUUCCUCUUCAGCAACUUCUUUAUUAUUAUUCUUCC
rnacentral:lncRNA from 1 species